rnacentral:lncRNA from 1 species
ACAGCGACAUCCGUAACUACCUGGUAGUGGGCCGUUUGGGGCCACGUGGAGUUUGUUACGGAGAGUGGAGUGAUGUCCGUUGUCGUGACUUGCUAGAGAGUGGUGGGGCCAUGUGGAGUUUGUUACAGAGAGUGGAGUGGUGUCCAUUGUCGUGAUUUGUCGGAGAGUUCGGGCCGGACGGCUGAAGCUCAGAUGGGAC